ensembl:snoRNA Gm22293 predicted gene, 22293
UGGUCAUUACCAAGGCUUUUAGAAUGCAGUUUCUCAGUUGCUGGGGACAUGACCAUAAAGAAAAAUUCCCAUGGAGCUUCUCAUAGGCUACUCCCUGUUGGGAACAUUU